ACCUCGGUAGCUUAGUGGUCGGAGCAGCGGAGCGUAAACCUUGAAGACCUGGGUUCGAAUCCCAGUCGAGUUCGUA